rnacentral:lncRNA from 1 species
GUGCGCAGCUGAUUGGAGAUUCUUCCGGGACCGCGUUAUACUUGGCUGCCUCACUCUGUUCCAAAGCAACUGUACUUUUUAUACUUCCAGCAUCAAUGUAUGAGAGUGCCUGUUGCUCUGCAGCCUCACAAACACGAAGCACUUGAUGUUUCCCCGUGAUUAGCCCGAAGUUAUGGAUUUUAGGAAAAAAAUAAAACAAGGUGGCAUGUCCCCUUUAUCACAUAAUAUCAAGUGAUACACGAUGUCCACCUGACAUUGCUGGUGACAGUAUGUUGAUCACAUGGUGAAGGUACUGUAUCUUGGGUUUCUCCACCCUAAAGUUACUAUUCUUUCCUUCCAAACUCCAUUAUUUAGAAGUAAGUCACCAUUUCCACCCCAAAAUCAAGAAAAGAAAUUAAGCUUCUCUCAGAGAAAGCAGUAUCACAGAUUUUGUAGACAUAUGGUAAAACCACAAAAGUAAUUUAACACGUAUUUUGGACAAUAUAUUUUAGGCUUUACAAUUAUCCUUUGUACCUAAACUUUAGCCCAGUAACUUUAGUAUUCUUAAGUUCAUCUUGCCUCGGUAAUUGUUUCAUUACUGUUCUAAAGGUGAUUUUUUUCUCAUUCCUUCUGUAUUUGUUAUUUGGAAUUUCUCUGUGAAACAUUGUUUCUUCUCCCUCAUUUAUUCACAUGAUUGAAUAAAUAUUUAUUCAAUUAUUUAUUUAUAUCAACAUAGGUUCAAUAAUAUGUUUAUUUUAUUUUGUUUAGUUUUUAAAUAAUUUUAGAUCUUAUUUUAGAUUCACGGGUUACAUGUGCAGAGUUGUUAAAUGAAUAUAUUGCAUGAUGGUGAGGUUUGGGGUACAAAUGAUCCCAUCACCCAGGUAGUGAGUGUAGUACUCUACAGUUAGUUUUUCAACACUUUCCCUCUUUCUAGCCUGUAAUCCCAGCUACCUGGGAGGCUGAGGCACAAGAAUCGCUUGAACCCAGGAGAUGGAGGUGAGCUGAGAUUGUGCCACUGCAUUCCAGCCUGGGCAACAGAGCAAGACUCUUGUCAAAAAAAAAAAAAA